rnacentral:rRNA from 1 species
UACGUAGGAUGCAAGCGUUGUCCGGAUUUACUGGGCGUAAAGGGCGCGCAGGCGGCACUACAAGUACUGGGUGAAAUCUCCUUGCUCAACGGGGAGGGUGCUUAGUAGACUGUAGAGCUAGAGGUGGGUAGAGGGUGGUGGAAUUGCUGGUGUAGCGGUGAAAUGCGUAGAGAUGUGGAGGAAUACCGAGUGGCGAAGGCAGCCCCCUGGGCCAAUACGUGACGCUCAUGGCACGAAAGCGUGGGGAGCAAACAGG